GGCGGCAUAGCCAAGUGGUAAGGCAGUGGUCUGCAAAACCGCGAUCCCCGGUUCGAUUCCGGGUGCCGCCU
rnacentral:tRNA from 1 species